CACACACAAAAUGAGUCAGGUUUAGUUGGACACACAGCUCAGAUUUCUGAAGCUGGAGUGGAAAGCAGCAUGCUCAGGGCUAGCCACCAGCUGGAUUGCUUGGGUGCUUACAAGCGGGACAAUCUUUUUCUGAAGCUUUGAUGGGAGGUCUAGGAAGGACAAAGCCUGGCCUGGCUUCUUGUCACCAGCUUGAGGGCUUGAUGCUGCUACCUGGUGCUGUCCUUAAGGCCUGCAUCCUUCCCACCUGCCUUCCUUGGCACCUUCUCCGCUGCCAGGGGGUUUUGUCUGCUGAAGUUUCCCCGGCCUAAGCACCGAGAGAGGUUCCUUUGAAAAGGCAGCUGAGGAGAGAGACCAUCCACCUGAAACGCGGGAGGCGGAAAUCGUACACUCAGUACAACUCUCUUUAUCCCUUUUGUCUGGGAACUACAAAAAGAGAGAGAGAGAGUCUUGUUUUGUACACCUUUCAGAGCUCCACAGGCUGGCAUUCAUUCAUUUCGGGCCAUUUUCAUGAGUGAUGCUUAAAUCAGGUCUCGCAUUUCUUGUGUCUGUAAAUGGAAUUAAAACCUACAUUGACUGGAAAAUGUACAUUUGGUUAAAAAAAAGUA